GCCGAAUUACUUCUGCGUACCCAACUGCUAAGCUCUUCAACGGAAGGAUAACAACAUGAAGCAGCUAGUCGUCCUUACGUGCUUGAUUUUCUUCAUCGCCGUAUGUACAUCUGCGUUCAAGCUUCAGGAAAAACAAGACUCAGUUGAUACCGUUAUCGAACAAGAAUCCAAGAGAGCUGGCGUGGACUCAACUCAAUUUGCUGAACUGUUGGACGUCAUCACACAGGGAGAGGGAAAUAAUGCUGAACCUUCGGCAAGAUUUGACGAAGAGAUCGACCAAUACUUUCUUGACAAACUGGUGGACUCCGUGAAGAAGGUAGCAGAAGACCUGAAAAAGGCGCUGGAUAAUGUGGGAAAUCACAUUGUGCUUCCACUAUAGCGAACCAAGCACACGGGCCACAUUCUUCAGAGAAAGCAUCGCUUUAUUAUUCGUAAGAACUUCUGUCGUUUAAAAUAAAAUAAGGUGCUUUUCGUCUAACACUUCUUAUAACGCCCGACUUGCAGUAUUCUGGACAGCCUCACUAAUGAGAAAUUGGGCGACGUCCUUGCCAAGC